CUUCAGCGAGCCGAGCCACAGGGGCCGGUCCUCGCCCGCGCGUUCCUGCCCGUAGGUGUUGAGCAGGGCCUGGGCCUC
rnacentral:antisense_RNA from 2 species